UACGUAGGGUGCAGGCGUUAAUCGGAAUUACUGGGCGUAAAGCGUGCGUAGGCGGUUUGUUAAGACAGGUGUGAAAUCCCCGGGCUUAACCUGGGAACUGCGCUUGUUACUGGCAGACUGGAGUGUGGCAGAGGGGGGUGGAAUUCCAGGUGUAGCAGUGAAAUGCGUAGAUAUCUGGAGGAACACCGAUGGCGAAGGCAGCCCCUGGGCUAACACUGACGCUGAUGCACGAAAGCGUGGGGAGCAAACAGG
rnacentral:rRNA from 1 species